rnacentral:rRNA from 1 species
CCUACGGGAGGCUGCAGUGAGGAAUAUUGGUCAAUGGGCGCGAGCCUGAACCAGCCAAGUAGCGUGAAGGAUGACUGCCCUACGGGUUGUAAACUUCUUUUGUCAGGGACGAAACAAAUGACGGUACCUGACGAAUAAGCCACGGCUAACUACGUGCCAGCAGCCGCGGUAAUACGUAGGUGGCAAGCGUUAUCCGGAUUUACUGGGUGUAAAGGGCGUGUAGGCGGGAGAGCAAGUCAGAUGUGAAAUUCCAGGGCUCAACCCUGGAACUGCAUUUGAAACUGUUUUUCUUGAGUGAUGGAGAGGCAGGCGGAAUUCCGUGUGUAGCGGUGAAAUGCGUAGAUAUACGGAGGAACACCAGUGGCGAAGGCGGCCUGCUGGACAUUAACUGACGCUGAGGCGCGAAAGCGUGGGGAGCAAACAGGAUUAGAUACCCCUGUAGUC